UCAAUUGAAACUUAGAUACAUGAUGGAGAUGGAGACUAGAGGGAAAUGCAAGCUUCACCAUUUCCAGAAGACAUUGGAACCACACUUGUAUUUAUCCUUUCCUUUGCACUCCAGCUCCAGGUCGUCGGUAAUGAAAGGCACUUUCUGCAAUAUUGGCCAUGAUCCAGUUAGUAAUUAUGUAAUUUUUCACAACUCUGUUGUAAAUGGUUUUGGUGAAUGUAAUGCACUAACCUUUUGCCUGGCAAGAUCUUGGCAGCCAGUGAAGUUGUAAGGGAAGUUGCAUGACCCAAAUUGCACGGUGAAUGCCCUGUAGAAGUUUGCUCCACUUGUUGCCAAUCUCUUCUUGUCAUUCAAUUCCUAUAAUUUUUACAACAUGAAUAGAGUUUGUUAAUAACAGCUAGAGAAACCAGUUGCGCCAACAAGCAAUCCAGGAAUCUGAUCACAAUUAGAUAAAUGACAAGAGAAGACAAACCUUGUUAGUUUUCGAUCUCUCAAGUGCAUCCUCAAUAGGGCCAGCAUUAGCAGAAGUAGCCGUGGCGAAAAGAGCAGCUCCAAGGCAAAGAAGUGCUGCCCUCCUUCCUUGGCUACCGGACUCGCUUGAUUCAGAAGCUUUGACAUUCUGAGCCCUGAUAACUGGCACUUUAGCAGCCAAGGCAGGCACUGAAACAAGCUUAGAGUUGAGGCUAAGCUCCGAUGAUCCGCU
rnacentral:lncRNA from 1 species